AUGCAUUAAGCUAACUGAUACUAAUUGCCCGUACGGCUUGUCCCUAUAACCUUGACGGUUAUA
rnacentral:rRNA from 1 species